rnacentral:rRNA from 1 species
CCUACGGGUGGCAGCAGUGGGGAAUAUUGCACAAUGGGCGAAAGCCUGAUGCAGCAACGCCGCGUGAGCGAUGAAGGCCUUCGGGUCGUAAAGCUCUGUCCUCAAGGAAGAUAAUGACGGUACUUGAGGAGGAAGCCCUGUCUAACUACGUUCCGGCAGCCGGGGCAAUAGGUAGGGGGCUAGCGUUAUCCGGAUUUACUGGGCGUAAAGGGUGCGUAGGUGGUUUCUUAAGUCAGGGGGGAAAGUCUAGGGUUAAACCGUAGUAAGCCUUUGAAACUGGGGAACUUGAGUGCAGGAGAGGAGGGUGGAAUUCCUGGUGUAGCGGUGAAAUGCGUAGAUAUUAGGAGGAACACCAGUUGCGAAGGCAGCUCUCUGGACUGUAACUGACACUGAGGCACGAAAGCGUGGGGAGCAAACAGGAUUAGAUACCCCUGUAGUC